CGGCCCGGGAAGGGGAGAGUGGCCGAGUGGUCAAAAGCGACAGACUGUAAAUCUGUUGAAGUUUUUCUACGUAGGUUCGAAUCCUGCCUCUCCCAC
rnacentral:tRNA from 1 species